GACGAACGCUGGCGGCGUGCCUAAUACAUGCAAGUAGAACGCUGAAGAGAGGAGCUUGCUCUUCUUGGAUGAGUUGCGAACGGGUGAGUAACGCGUAGGUAACCUGCCUUGUAGCGGGGGAUAACUAUUGGAAACGAUAGCUAAUACCGCGUAACAAUGGAUGACACAUGUCAUUUAUUUGAAAGGGGCAAUUGCUCCACUACAAGAUGGACCUGCGUUGUAUUAGCUAGUAGGUGAGGUAAUGGCUCACCUAGGCGACGAUACAUAGCCGACCUGAGAGGGUGAUCGGCCACACUGGGACUGAGACACGGCCCAGACUCCUACGGGAGGCAGCAGUAGGGAAUCUUCGGCAAUGGGGGCAACCCUGACCGAGCAACGCCGCGUGAGUGAAGAAGGUUUUCGGAUCGUAAAGCUCUGUUGUAAGUCAAGAACGGGUGUGAGAGUGGAAAGUUCACACUGUGACGGUAGCUUACCAGAAAGGGACGGCUAACUACGUG
rnacentral:rRNA from 1 species